rnacentral:lncRNA from 1 species
UCAAUACAAAGCCUCAAUGUUCCCUCUAUCUUUUUAACUAACACCGGAGCACCCCAUGAUGAAAUAUUAAGCCAAAUAAAAUCCUUAUUUAAUAGUCCUUGUAGUUGCUUUUCUAAUUCCACUUACUCAAAUGAUAUCAUUGUGUAGAGAGGCUUAGAUAUUGGGAUUGUCCCAAGGACCAAAUCAAAAGCAAAGUCACGUUUGGAGGUAAUCCAAGCAAGUCAUUCUGGGAUACAUUAGGCAAAGAGAUAAAUCAUGUCCAAUACUCUCAAAAUAAAAGAUCGACUGAUCAAAUAUACAAAAAGUGAUCAUUUGUUAUAUACCAAUCCAUACUGGUAUGAUAAGAAGAUAGUCAAUCCAUACCAAGUAUAAUAUCAAAGUUCCAAAUCUCUAGGAGAACUAAAUCAGCAAAAGUUCAAGUUCUCCAAUAAAAAUCAGACAAGAGGACCAGAUUCAAGUUCAUUAUCAAAGAACCUCCAAUGAUCAUAUUUUAUAUAUAUCACAUAAUGCAGAGGUCUAGGUUGAAUGCCCAAGUGAUAAGCAAUAUGUUACGAAUCAAAUCGUAGGUAGGACCCAUGGUCAAACAAAUAUUUGCAUUCUUUCAUAAACAUGCAUAAUACCUUUGACCACUGAUUCAAAAGUUUUAGAAUCAUAUUCAGUGAUAGCAUAUACUCUGACAUGGGCUGAUGAUUUAUGAGGCAGUGACUCUUUCUUCUUGUUCAAUGGGCAGUCUUUUAUUUCAUGAUCCAACUUUCCACAAGCAAAAUAGACUCUAGUCACCCACAAAUAUAAACUUGUUUCAUAAUUUAACUUAUAAUUCACACAUUAUUGAGUCUUUUGUGGUGACUUCCUUUUCAAAUCCAAAUGUCUUGACCCU